rnacentral:rRNA from 1 species
GAUGAACGCUAGCGGCAGGCCUAAUACAUGCAAGUCGAACGGAUAUAUGUUUUUCGGAAUAUAUAUUAGUGGCGCACGGGUGAGUAACACGUACAUAGCUUGCCCUCAAGCGGGGGAUAGCCUUGGGAAACUGAGAGUAAUACCCCAUAGAAUUAUUGGACGGCAUCGUUUGAUAAUUAAAACUACGGUGCUUGGGGAUAGAUGUGCGUCUGAUUAGCUAGUUGGUGAGGUAACUGCUCACCAAGGCGACGAUCAGUAGGGGGCGUGAGAGCGUGGCCCCCCACACGGGUACUGAGACACGGACCCGACUCCUACGGGAGGCAGCAGUAAGGAAUAUUGGUCAAUGGAGGGAACUCUGAACCAGCCAUGCCGCGUGAAGGAUGACGGCCCUCUGGGUUGUAAACUUCUUUUUGGAUGGGGCGAAAAACGGGAUUUAAUCCUGGACUGACGGUACCAUCAGAAUAAGCACCGGCUAACUCCGUG